rnacentral:lncRNA from 1 species
AGGACAAAACGGUGCGAAAGUGGGAAAAAAUUUCGGCAGUGGCUAGAAAUUGAUGGAAACGGUGGGGAAAAACACACGAACUGGACUCUAACAAGACCUAACCAGCAACAAGACAUCGACUAGGACACAAACUCAACACUGCGGACUCUAAGACUAAAAUAUGCAAAGGCUAUGGCUUGAAAGGUUUGUAGGACAGGAAAACGAUAUGACACUGGACUUAUGGGACGAACACAAGAACACUCAAAACUAAGGAUAGAUGUGAAUCUAACGAUAUACCUAAAGCUUUGAUUACCACUUGAUGAGAACAAGGGUGGCCUGAUCUUCCGAAAGGUUCUAGUAACUCUCGAUUUGGUGGAGACGAGACACAAAUCGAUUUGGCUUUCGAACAACCCGAUCCGAAACCCUGCAUUUUUUUUAUUUUUUUUAUAUUUUUCUUUUACCUAGGAGCACUAAAAAGUAACCACAAAAAAUUUGUGCUUAAACAAGUGAAAGACGUGGCCUGCAGAAUUUUCUGAAGAUUGCGAAAAAUGUGAAAAAACUUCAUGAGGAGAAAACUCAAACUUUGGAGGCAAAUUUUAAGAUAAAAUUAUCGAACCCGCUAAAGUCACAUACAGACAGAUCUGAAAUUUUUUUAUGAUCGAAUUUGAUAUAGGUAACGUUGAAAUCAGAGUUUGUAUGUGAAAGUUAUGGUUUGUUUACAAAUGCACUCCGAAAUAGAGGAAAAACGGUCCAGAAGUGGGAAAAAUUUGCGGCGCUGGCUAGAAAUUGAUGAAAAUAGUGGGGAAAAACACACGAACAGGACUCUAACAAGACCCAACCAGCAACAAGACCUCGACCAGGACACAAACUCAACACUGCGGACUCUGAAACUGAAAUAUGCAAAAGCUACGGCGCGGAAGGGAUGUAGGACAAGAAAACGAUAUGGCACUAGACUUAUGGGACGAACACAAGAACACUCGAAACUAAGGGUAGAUGUGAACCUAACGGUAUACCUGAAGCUUUGAUUACCACUUGAUGAGAACAAGGGUGGCCCGAUCUUCCGAAAGGUUCUGGUAACUCUCGAUUUAGUGGAGACGAGACACAAAUCGAUCCGGCUUCAGAACAACACGAUCCAAAACCCUACAAUUUUUUUUAUUUUUUUUGAUAUUUUAUUUUACUUAGGAGCACUAAAGAAGUAACCACGGAAAAUUUGAGCUUAAACAAGUGAAAGACAUGGCCUGCGGAAUUUUCUGAAGAUUGCGAAAAAUGUGAAAAAAACUUCACGAGGUUAAAACUCAAACUUCGGAGGCGAAUUUGGAGAUUCUAAAAUUUUCAAGCCCGCUAGUACUAGGGACAGGCAGAUCCAAAAAUUUUUCUGAUCGAUUUUGAUAUAUAGAACGUUGAAAUCAGAGUUCGUUGCGAAAGUUGUGGCUGUUUUAUGAACAGACUCCAAAUUAGAGGACAAAACGGUCUGAAAGUGGGAAAAAAUUGUGGCGGUGGCUAGAAAUUGAUGGAAACGGUGGGAAAAAACACACGAACUAGACUCUAACAAGACCUAACCAGCAACAAGACCUCAACUAGGACACAAACUCAACACCGCGGACUCUGAAACUGAAAUAUGAAAAGGCUAUGGCACGGAAGGGUUGUAGAACAGGAAAACAAUAUGGCACUAUACUUAUGGGACAAACACAAGAACACUCAAAACUAAGAGUAGAUGUGAACCUAACGGUAUACCUAAAGCUUUGAUUACCACUUGAUGAGAACAAGGGUGACCCGAUCUUCCGAAAGGUUCUAGUAACUCUCGAUUUGGUGGAGACGAGACACAAAUCGAUUUGGCUUUCGAACAACACGAUCCGAAACCCUGCAUUUUUUUAUUUUUUUUAUAUUUUUCUUUUACCUAGGAGCACUAAAAAGUAACCACAAAAAAUUUGUGCUUAAACAAGUGAAAGACGUGGCCUGCAGAAUUUUCUAAAGAUUGCGAAAAAUGUGAAAAAACUUCAUGAGGAGAAAACUCAAACUUUGGAGGCAAAUUUCAAGAUAAAAUUAUCAAACCCGCUAAAGUCACAGACAGACAGAUCUGAAAUUUUUUUAUGCU